ensembl:lncRNA
CACCGAUACAGAGUGAAAGCACGUUAACUGCUCUCUGAUCAUAAACAGUGACAUGGCUAUACCGGAGGAGGAGCUGUCCCAUCCCAUCCAGUGCGAGACCAACCCCCAUGGUUUAAAUGGAGUCAUCGCUGUUGAUGAUAAAAUUUAUCCUCUAACCUUCCUUAGAGAUCCGGCUCCAUCUGCUGAGGACUCGCCUGGUGCAGGUGGAGGAUCGGAGCAGCUAUCUAGUGUCCAGUGUGAUUCACUCCAUCACCAGAACGAUGCAGUGUUCGAACCUCAUGCAUACCCGGCGCCUGGUGGGAGAUGGAACACCCAGAUGACUGAUGUUCCCUUCAACCUGAGGGAAAUCACUCGUAGUGUGACUGCAGCAAGGUGCAUGCAGAGUCCAUGGAGGGAGAUAGUGUUCACUGUUGGGACUGCCCUGCUCUAUGUAUGUUGC